UUCCACCAUGAUUGUGAGGCCUCCCCAGCCAUAUGGAACUGUGCCUCACUCUAGUCCUGACCCUGUUACCACCAAAAUAUCCCCACUGAGGAACUUCUAGUGAAUAUAUUUCAAGAAGAAGGGAACUAACCCCAGGAAGAAGACUGAAAGCUUCAUGAGGAUAAACUGAGACUCUUCGCUAUUGAAAUUCUAUUGCCAGGCGCAUCCCCCAGCCCACAGUGAAUGGAAUUGGAUUAUUCUGAAGCACAAUCAGUAUUCCAAGUACAUGGUUUCUGUAAUGGGAUAAUUGGCUGCCCCUGGUCCUAGACAACACCUGAAGGCACUAAUCCCAUUCAUGAAGAUUCCACCCUCAGGAUCUAAGCAUCUCCCGAAGGCCCUGCCUCCUAAUAGCAUCCCCUUGGAGGUGAGGAUUUCAACUUGGGAAUUUUGGGGUGACAUGAACAUUCAGGCUGUAGCAGAACACUUACUUGUGAGUGAGUGAGAGGGACAAGAUGCGGUUAAAGAGGCUGGCAGAGAGCGAACCACAAGAGGACUUGAGACCUUGGUAAGGAUAUAAUCUUUGUCCUAAGUACAAUGGGAAACCAUUGGAAGGUUCUGAGCUCCAUUUGGAGCAAGAUUAGAUGGGGCCAGAGUAGAGCUCAUACUUCUUAUUCUGGUUCAGUUGGUCUGGGGUGGCCCUGGCGUCAGUGGGAUUGACAAGUUCCCCACAUGAUUCCAGCUGCUGCCCGGGGAGGACUUUCUGCACUGUACAAAAUCCUCCAGAACCUGAGACUCUGCUGUGACCCCAUGAGAAAGGUUCAUCUGGUGUCUACCUCAAUAGCCCCAGCAGCCAUGGAACAUGCAUUCCUCACUGGGACAGCCUGGCUCUUCUUUAGGCAGCUCUAAUGGUCAGAAAAGUCUUGUCUAUUUCAAGUACAAAUCUCAUUGGUUCUGUCCUCUGCCUUGGGUAAGCAUUCCGGUUCCUUUAACAGCCCACACAUAAGCUGGAUUCAGGGACCUUCAUUUCCUUCCUUCCUUAGCUGUCCUGAGGCACUAAUUUGGGUUGGAGUUAGGACUCGCCUUUAACGUUGAUAGAACCUGUUUUCAUGCGUAACUACCCAGAAUUCAUGGCAGCCUGAUCAGCUAAGCUGGGCAGGCAGGCCUGGGAUGACGUCUCUAUGUCCCUGAUGGCCCCUGGAAGACAUAGGUCCAGAGACAUUGGGGCCAUGACCAAGAUCACAGAAUUGGCAAGCAGAGUCUCAAACCCAUGGGGUUCCUCUCACUGACCACACCGCCUCAUGCUGCCCUGGAAGGGCUAGAAGUUCUGAAAACUCUGAAUAUGGCCCCUACCCCAGAGAAACUAGAGGCUAAGUGGUGAACUAGCAUGAAUGCUGCCUGUUGUGUGCCAGAACCUUCCAGAAUAGCUCACUUAAUCUAAGGGUUCAGCUACUGUUGUCAACAGUUUGCUAAUGGAGGUUAAGGUGAAAAAGAUGGCAAGCAAUGGACUCCAUUCUAGGUCAUUCUGCUUCCAAAGCCCAUGGCUUUCUACUCACCCAUGCUGAAGUUGCUUCUAAGCAUGAGCCCAUGUUAAAAACAGAACAAAACUAGCACCUGCUAUGUGACAGUACAGGGUUAGGAGCCCCAUGUGUCCUGGGUAGGUUUGCAGAUGGUUGGAUCAAAGUGCAGCAGCUGGUGGGAGAUGCAGGGAGGCAAAGCGGAGGAAAACUGUCUCUUGGCUGAUGUCCGUUGACCUGCAGCCCAAGAAGCAGUUUUUAGAAAUCUUCCCCCACCAAGAGGAAAGAGAGGAGGUGCAGCUGAGUGACAUCUAGGGUUGGGGAGAGACAAUGGAGCCAAUUACCUAGGUAAAGUCACCAAGCAAUAACUAGCUAGAGGCUUGUCCAGAAAUUCUCAUGGCUUGCUUUGAUGAUCAUUUGUCUGAGUUGCGUUUCAUUUCGAUUUUUCCUUCAAUUUAGAUCCCAUCUGCUGCUCUGUGUGCCUGAGCCCACCCCUAGAGACACAGGCAUGCAAUUU
rnacentral:lncRNA from 1 species